UACGAAGGGGGCUAGCGUUGCUCGGAAUUACUGGGCGUAAAGGGCGCGUAGGCGGGUCGUCAAGUUGGGGGUGAAAGCCCAGGGCUCAACCUUGGAAUUGCCUUCAAAACUGACGAUCUAGAGUAUGGAAGAGGUAAGUGGAACUCCGAGUGUAGAGGUGAAAUUCGUAGAUAUUCGGAAGAACACCAGUGGCGAAGGCGACUUACUGGUCCAUGACUGACGCUGAGGCUCGAAAGCUAGGGGAGCGAACAGG
rnacentral:rRNA from 1 species